CAGAGGCUGUAUUCCUGGGAGCUGGUUAAGCCCUGCUUGACUACCUGAAGAUGUGCAGGUGAAGGAAUCCCAGCUCCUUCCAGAUACGAGGCAAACCAUUCAUGGGAAAAGGAGCAGGAUAUUCUGUAAAACACAGGCCAAAGAAGGAAGAAAAGAAAUGCCAACAAAGGAACAAGAAGCAGGAUUCUUAGAAAGCAAGACAAAGGACACAGACAGGAUGCCCAGUUUCCUACCAUCACUGACAAGUGCAGAAAAUGAUGCCAUGGAUUAAUUUGCAAGGACGCUGCUGUGGAAAUCUGAAUAUAAUUAAUGAGCCAUGAACCAAGAAGUUACUUAUAUUGCUGCACACUCCUAAUAAAUGGGAAUACGUCAGAUACCUGAGUUCAGAGAAGGCUAUUAAUGCCGUUUAUGUAUUCCAAAGAAAAGUACAAUGAACAUUUCAAACCUACCCAGGGAUGGGCGAACUAGUUUGGCUACAAUGAGAACUGACCUGAGAACGUGCCAAACUUGAACUGAACCUGAGAACUGCUGCCCCUCAGGUAUAUAGGCAUUUGGAAUUAUUUUUCAGCAUUGUUCGUUUUUGUGAGCUUCCCUAUCUCCAGCCAAGAGAUGAAAUAACAGAAAUAUCUAGAGAGUCUAGUCCACCAAUCACUUCCAACCUUAAGUAACCCACACUGGGAUGUUUUCCAAAACCAAACCCAAACUCUGAACCUUUAAACCACUUACAGAUUUAUUCCAUUCUGAAAUGAAAUGACUGUUAAAACCAUUGGCAGGAGUAGCACAGAAUGAUGGCAGCCCCGAUCCAGCAGAGGGAUUAAGAUCAAUGGAACUUAAACAUGCACUUAGCUUUAAGCUUCCAUGCUGACUAUGGAUGGACUUCAACGCUUCCUUAAAGUUAAGCAAGCACUUAGGUGCUUUGUUGAGUUGGGAUCUUGGGGGAUUGAUCCAGCAGCCAAAUGUGCAAAACCCUGUUCAUUUCAGUAGGACUCUGUGCAAAUGUAAUGGCUCACCCACAUGAACGCCAGACACUGCUGAUCCUGCUAACUCUGAAUCUGGCCAGACCUCCAGAUCAGCCCUCAUAGAACCAAGGCUGGAGAAAAAGUAGAGGGAACCACAGAACAGCCCUAACUAGCCAAGCAAGAAUGUUAGAACCUAACUGUCCCUUUUAAGUACUCUUUCAUCUGACCAUUCUUGUGAAUACAGGUUAAACCUUCAGUCCCCAGUGAUAAAGGUUUUUAUUAUGAAUGUUCUGUACAUGCAAUUUACAGAGCUAUUCUGCAGAUUGCUAUCAUUGACAGAAUGCCCUUAUAUCCCUGAUGUACUUAUAUCUCUUCUUGAAAUUUUCAUGUGGGGGAAAUGUCAUUCCUUUGGCUGAAAACUUAUAUUAGGAAACUUGUGAAGUUUCUACAAGACUGCAUGUCAGAACACUUUUUAUUGCUAUCUGUUGAGAAGUAGAUUGUUGCUACAAUACUUUUUGUUUCACCCUACUUAGUAUUAUUUCUUAAUUUGAAAAGACUGACUUUUGUGAAGUUACAAGAACCCAUCUUCAUAAAUGCAUGUUUUCAUCCUCACUUUCAGGACUUCACAAUAUAUAUCAAAUAGACACAAAGGCAUGCUAAAGUAAAAUAGAGUACUUAGCAUUUCAGUGCUCUCUUGUGUUGGUAAAUAACAUGACCUUUAAAUAUUAUAAGUAGGGAUAUGGAAUAUUUUGUUGAAAUUCAAAGGCAGGUAAAAGUACUCUUAAACAUGUCUUAUUAAAGUUGGGGCCUGAUCAUCCUAUGUUAAGUGUGGGAAUAAGUUAGUUAGAAGUGUAUAUGUUUGGCAGACUGAGCCAAUAGGACGGAAGCCAAUGGGAGUUUCACAUCAGGCCCUUGUGAAGUGUCUUGUACUUCAGUGGCAUAAUGGAAAAAAGACCAGUCAACUAGUAUAGUACACUUUUCAAUAGGAAAAUUUAAUUCUAAAGUCCUGUUAUGCAUGACUUAUUCUAAAGUAGUUCUUUCUGAGCACUGCAUAAA